rnacentral:rRNA from 1 species
GACAUGAGUGACGAGCGUUAUCCGUAUUUAUUAGGCGUAAAGGGUGAGUAGGCUGUAAAAGUAGUUUUAAUUAACUCUAACGGAUUACCGGGUUUAAUUAAAAAACCUUUUUACUAAGAAUUUUAGUGUAGGUGUAAUUUAUAAAAUUUUUAAGUUAGCGAUAAAAUGCAGCAAGCUUUAUUGGUUUUUUCAAAGGCGCAAGCUAUCAACUGACUAAUUUUGACGCUGAAUCACGAAAGCAUGGGUUUCGAAUAGGAUUAGACACCCUAGUAGUCCAAGCUAUAAACGAUGAGUAUUUAGUUUUUUAACUUAAAUUAACGUGUAAAUACUCCGCCUGGGCAGUACAGUCGCAAGGUUGAAACUCAACAGAAUUGGCGGGAAUUUGUCUUCAUGGUGGAACAUGUGGUUUAAUGCGAUAAUCCGCGCAAAAUCUUACCAAAAUUUGUUAGUUCCGUUUUAUUUGUUUUUAUAACUAGACAUAAAUGUCGGAAACUAUGAUGGUAUUGCAUGGCUGUCGUCAGUUUGUGCUUUGAAGUAUAGAAUUAAUUUUUUUAACAAACGCAACUCCUGUAAUUAGUUUUAAUUAAUUUUUUUUAAGGUUUUUAUCCUUGGAUUUUUAAUUUUCUAAUUUUAUGAUUAACUUUUUGAUAAAAAUCAAUUAAGUUGAAAGGAAGUAAGGACUGAAGUCAAGUCAUUAUGGUCUAUAUAUUUUGGGCUACACACGUGUUACAAAGAUAGAAACAAAGAGAUGUGAAAGAGUAAUCUGAAACCAAUCUUAAAAAACUAUUUUACAAACGAAUUGUUUUCUGAAACUCGAAAGCAUGAAGUUGAAAUCAUUAGUAAUCGUAGAUUAGCACGCUACGGUGAAUCUUACAUCAAAUUUUGCACACACCGCCCAUCACGCUCUGAGAGUUAGUAUAUGUUGAAAUACUAUAUACAAUUAUUCACGUAUAUUAAUUCCCCUCUCAAGUUAGAGAAAAUUAUUAUGAAUUUCUACUAAGGUUAAUUUUUUGUUUUUAAAACUAUUUUUAACCGGUUUGGGGGAAGUUAUUAGAAUUUACUGGUGAUCUGAGUGAAGUUG